rnacentral:rRNA from 1 species
GACGAACGCUGGCGGCGUGCCUAAUACAUGCAAGUAGAACGCUGAAGGAGGAGCUUGCUCUUCUGGAUGAGUUGCGAACGGGUGAGUAACGCGUAGGUAACCUGCCUGGUAGCGGGGGAUAACUAUUGGAAACGAUAGCUAAUACCGCAUAAUAGUAGAUGUUGCAUGAUAUUUACUUAAAAGGUGCAAUUGCACCACUACCAGAUGGACCUGCGUUGUAUUAGCUAGUUGGUGGGGUAACGGCUCACCAAGGCGACGAUACAUAGCCGACCUGAGAGGGUGAUCGGCCACACUGGGACUGAGACACGGCCCAGACUCCUACGGGAGGCAGCAGUAGGGAAACUUCGGCAAUGGACGAAAGUCUGAACGAGCAACGCCGCGUGAGUGAAGAAGGUUUUCGGAUCGGAAAGCUCUGUUGUAAGGGAAGAACGAGUGUGGGAGUUGAAAGUUCACACUGUGACGGUAUCUUAUCAGAAAGGGACGGCUAACUACGUG